GGCUGACGCCACGGUACUCUAGCCUGGGCAACAAAGUGAGACUCUGUCUCAAAAAAAAAAAAAAAGAAAAAAAGCGUCAAUGUUUUUUGUUGCUAGCCACAGAAUCUUACAUGUUUUUGUGCAAGUAUAUGUACAGCACUACUGUGCUGUCAGGGUUGCGAAAGGCUUCCGGCAGGGCCAGCCUUUCUGCAGCCAGAGGCCAAGCAAGCCGCCCUGUACCGGGACCUCAGUCAGUGAUGAUGCCACGAAUAUAGGGGAUACUCGCUUGCUUUUCAUUGGUUGAUAUUCAGAAGUUGCCAGCCAACAAUGUCUCUUUAGAAAAAUGAAUAAAGUACAUAAACUUUACUAGCCCUUAGAAUUAAAUCCCUAGGGCAUGGUUCAAUCUGUAGGAAACAAAUCUACGCUUUUUUAUAUUAGCCUUUAAAUAGAGCUUAGAACCCUGGGGAGAGAAAGGGAGUCACGUAAGAUUUGAAAUCCUUCCUAUGGAAUGAUUUCUUAAAAUGAAAGUCUGGUCCCAUUCACUCACUGGUCAUACUGGGCACUGCUUCCCGUGGCCCACAGGGUAAAAUCCAGAUUCUCUUCAUGGGAUUUAAGGCCCUUCUGUACCGGUUUCGUCUAACACCUCCACUCCGAUGGGAGGCCUCUGCUCGGCAGUUGCAGCUUCCCGAGCCUGCUCCCUGAGGCCUGUGCCUUACCUCCCACUGCCUGCUCUUGGCCUCAGGAGCUUCUCAACCUUCCAGACUUACUCGGGGAACCCUUUCCAACCCUUUCAGUCCACUGUUUUACAUCCGUUUUUGGCAGUGACCCCCUGGACUUAUAAUUGUGUGGACUUCGUUGCUGCCUCCAGUAACGGUGAGCUUUGUGAAGUUGGAGAGUGUGGCUGUCGCAGCGUGUAAGUCCUGUUCGGAUCCGUGCUCUCACACGCGUGAUUGUUGGAGAGAGGUUUGCCCUUCCCAGCCUCAGCGUCCUCAUCUGUAAGUUCUUGUCUCACAGGCACCUGUGGGUGAGUCCACGAGAUCGUGCUUAUGACAGCCAGAGUGGAGAAGCACCUCCCAUCGGAGUGGAGGUGUUAGACAAAACCGGUACAGAAGGGCCUUAAAUCCCAUGAAGAGAAUCUGGAUUUUACCCUGUGGGCCAUGGGAAGCAGUGCCCAGUAUGAACAGUGAGGGAGCCCCAAGUAAGAGCUCUCAUGAGUGGUUGUGUCCCCACUGCCAGCUUAGUGCCCAGGAGGUAGAAGGUGCUCAGAGGUGUUUAAGGGAGUGGAUUGAUAUAGCUGACAUGACAAGAGGUCUGUGUGCUUCCGGCGAGCUUGUGGGGUUUUCUGUUGUGCAACCCGGAACUUAAAAAGGACCUGAUUAUGCCCAACUCACUUUUCUGCUCUCCCCUGGAGUUCGCCAGUCCUGAUCGGUGUGCAGGCCCCUGGCUUCUGUUUUAGGUGUGUCCAGAACUCUGCUGUGCUGUCUGGCAACCAACCCCAGCUCCCUGCCUAGUCAGGCGAGGAACUCAGAACCCAGACUGCCCUUGUACCUUGACUUUUUUGAAGGAUGUAGGCUGGUGGUCAAAUCAGUCUUCAGCCCUGGGCUUCAAGAGGUCAGAAAUGAAGGGAGGGCUUCCCAGUUGGACUCACACGUGCACCGUCGAAUAUGGUAGCCAUUCAUCAAAUGUGGCUUUUAAGCACUUAACAUGAGGCUGGUCCAAGUUGAGAUUCUGCACAUGUAAAGUACAUACUUAGAUUUUGCAGUCUUAGUACUAAAAGAUAAAAGGAAACUCAGUAAUUUUUUAUAUUGAUCAUAUGUUGAAAUGAUAUUUUGCAUAUACUGGGUUAAAUAAAAUUUAUUAGAAUUAAUUUCAUCUGUUUCUUUUUACUUUUUUAGUGUUGCUCCCAGAUUGUUUAAAAUUGCAUAUGUGGCUCGCAUUGUAUUUCCGCUGGACAGGACUGUCCAGCACAUGCAACACAUUGCCUGGGCACUUCAGAAUCUGUGAAAAGAUAGCAGUUUGCAGACAGAAUGGUUUAUGCAUGAGAGGGACCAACAGACAGCUGGGUGGCCUCUGCUUAAGAGAAUGGAAGCAAUCUAGGACAGGAUAGGCUGGGGACUCAUCCUGGAGACAUUUCAUCCUGGAGGAUGGCUAAACAGCUGCAGCACCUAGAUGAGCCCAUGCAUAUAAGAGACCAUGUAAUGAAGAUUUGUUGAAUGAACUUGGAUUUUGGCCUUGGAAAUUACAAAGGAAGAAAUAGAAGCAACAAAAGUUGAUGAGCAAUAAAGGCCAGUGUCAGGGCUGAAAGGUGGGGGUGGGGGAGGGCAAGGACACUGCAGCCUUGGCAUCUGUUUUAGCAGUAGCUUUGCUCAGCUCCCUGCACAGGAAAAGAGCAGGAGGCGUUCCUUCUUAAAUGUACCAGCAAUGACAAAGACAGCCUGGUGGGUGUCCUUCCAUGCAGGUAUGGAUACAAGUUGGUGGUUCCAUCAGAUGAUUCCACAGAUAAGCCAUGCCAUUGGUUACCAGUGGCCUUAGCUGAGUCCCAAGGAAUGGGCUGCUUUCUCUGAAAGGAAGCCACUUGCAUCUUUGACCCCUUCCAAAGGGUCAAAGUUUGGCUGGGAGUUUUGCUCACUCUCUUAGUCUGUUGCCAAGCUGGGGAGCUGAUAAAAUGUCUUGCUACUCUAGAAGAGCCACCUGAUAAAAUUGCCUUGUCACCCUACAAGAGACACCCUACCCAUUCCCAGCACCUCUAAGUCUUUGGGUUCAGACAGUGAAUGAAGGACAUCCUCCUAGUGGGCACGCACUGCUCUGGAACAUUCUGGGGAUCUUCCACUAAGUAUUCAUUAGUGUUUCCUGUUUGCAGAUUUCAUGGCCUCCUAGAUGACAAUCGCCUGUUUUCAGAAGUGCCAAAGACAAUGGCUAAAAGACAUGCCCUAUUAAUCAUCCUGGGAAACACAUGAAUUCUUACAAGGCUUUUUUGAGAAACAAAGCCUAACUCCAGUGGAGUAAUUUUGCUGUGUAAGCGAAAGGCAAUGUGGGGCGUGUUGAAGCAUGUGUCCCCGUAAUGCCUGGGUUCAUAUCUUAACUACCCUACUUUGACCUUGGGCAAAUCAGCUUUCCUGUGCCUCAGGUUCUGUACCUGUAAAAUAAAGAUAAUAACAGUAUUUACUUCAUAGGUUUGUUAUAAGGACUAAAUGGUGCUAAUACAUAUAAAACACUUCAGAGGUGUGCAGCAAGUGGUGAGCAGGUGCUAGUAAUUGUCACUGUUGCUGUUAGUUCAGUGUGAGAUGGGGAGGUGGGGACGGGAGGGGGGACCAGCAUCGCAUGUACAUCACAGCACGGAAAAGGCGGCCUCCCCGGACUCCUGGCUCUCAGCCUAGGACUGAGGCUUUGCAAAUGGCUCCAAUUACUUAAAGAAGGACUAAGACUUUUUACAUAUGUUCAUUUAAGAAUAUAUUUAGUUUUCCAAAUAUGCAACACAUAUAGUUUUUUAAAAAUACAGAAAGGUAUAGUAUGGAAAGCCUCCCAUCUCUCCAUCUAGCAAAUUCCUCAAGCCCCAGAGUAGCCACUGCAACUAGUUUUUAACUUAUUCUUCCAGAGUUUCUUUGUAUAUAUACAAAAUAAAUAUGGACAUGGAUCUAUUUUCUCCUUUUUAAAAAACACAAUUGUAGUAUAUUAUGCAUACUGUUUUAUUCCUGCUUUUUAUCCAGAGAAGUGGCAUGAUUUUGAUGACAAUAAAGAAAAGUAUGUAAUUAUAAUGCAGACUUCUGGACACAGGAUUGGGCUGGUUUUGGUUCUGUUACUAAUUUGCCUAUAACUUUGCAUAAACCAUUUUAUCUUCUCAGGUCUCAAUUUUCUCACCUCAAGGAUGGGGAAAAAAUUACCUGCUUUGUUUUCUUUAUAAUAUUGUUAUGUAAUAUGAGCAAAAGUCUGUUAAAAAGACUUUGACAAGUAUUAAAUAACACACAUACAUAUAUACACACACAUACAUAUACAUAUGUAUAUGCAAUGGAGUACUGAAAACACUACAGAAUACUAAAUAUUGUAAAAUAGAUGUCUAAGUCUUUUUAUUGAAAUAGAUUAAAACUAAAAUAGAUGUAUGAAAUAGAAAGGUUAAAUAGAUAUUGACUUUUUUUUUUUUUU